AAGGUCGGAAGGUUCUUCAGAGCCCCGGGGGAGAAUAGCUAAAGGCAGCUGUUACAAUAUUUCUAUAUAUACUGUUGCUGUUGAGCUGAUAACUGUUUUCCCAUGAUGAAAUCCUAACUUUAAAAUCCCCUAGAACUUGGAAAUCCCCUGCAGGCACAAAUUACUUACUGCACAGUCACUUCACUUUCGUUUACUAGGAUUCCCUCGCGAUCCGCAGCAGAGUUCCUCACACUGCGCACCACCCGCGGGGUCUGUCCCACAGACCUUGGCUGAUGGAUGAAAUGAGUACUCAAAGACACAGGUAUGCAGCGUAAGAGCAGCUAGGUGACUGCCCCGCUCUAGUGGCCAGAGAGCAGCCCUGAGAAGCUGGAGCGGCUUGCUUUCAUUCAGUGCAGGCACAGUGCCAAAAACCUGGAGCCAACACAACCUGUAGAGGGAGGCAUUGCAGAGAGACCCCUUUCAAAGCACACAGGAAGUGGCUGAAGUCAAUAAAGAAACAGAAGAACAAUUUGAAUGAAGAUGGAUCAAAAAGAAGACAGACAUUUCUAAAAAGCCAUCUUUAAAUAUACCAUUUUACAAGCUCCCUAGUAAAUAUCUUGAGACAAAAUUGGAUGACUACACAUUUAGCAUGUUAUCAUGAUGCUUUGAAAAUAUGUAUGUGUACAUAUAUAUGUAAUAUUUAUACACAAAAUGUAUAACAUAAUAUUUCAUAUGAUAAUAAAUAUAAAUGUAAAUAUAAAUUUGACUUAAGAAGGGAGUAUAUGUUGAUAGCGUUGAAGUAAGCUUAGAUGAUCACCUUAAAUGUUGUUACUGUCUUUGUUGCCAUAGAAUAAACACUUAAAGAGAAAUAACAACUUUGUUUUCAGUUUGGAGCAUAUUUUUGGCCCUGGGAUUAUUGAUUAGAGAGAUUAAUAUGUAUUUUCCUUAUUUCAUCUGUAAAAUUUAAGUUAUUUUUAAACAGUUAUUUUAUUUACACAUAAUGUCAGGCUGGCACCUGGAACAAUAAAU
rnacentral:lncRNA from 10 species